CAUUGGGUCUACAUUACAAGUUGUAGCAGAUGUUCUCAACAUUUCUAUGGAGACUUCCUUAUAUCCACUUGUGAGAGGAGCCUGAGAGCCUCAUUCCUAUGAUAGCUACCAUUCACUGAUAUAAGCUGUUGUUCACCAAGGAGCUUUGGGAAGAGAAUUGGCCAGAUCAGCAAGUUCAUCUCCAUUGUGAAAAAACAACUUCUGAAGCUCAUCUCUGUUGAAGGACUCAUUUUGAAUUACGGAGAUCAUGUUCUACCUGUAACCUCUUGUGGGAGGAUUUCCAAAAGAAUGUACUGUCUGUAGGACAGGGGUAGACUGAAUACCUGCUUCACUGAAUACCUGCUUCACAUCACCUUUCACAUUUUCUUAUUGGAAAGACAGCCGUUGGAGGAUCAUCUUGUUACCAUCAGCAAAAAUGCAAACAAAUCAAGACAUUAAGAAUGCCACAGUGGCCCGCAGUUAAUGAUGCAAGUGUUACACAAGCUUCAGCCAAGUUUUCAAGACAGUGUGCCUCACUAGUCAUAAAUCAGGAAAGAUUGAACCUAUCCUUUUUGUCUCAGCUGUUCCUUAAAUCAAUGCAACCCCUCCAAAUUAAUGUGAAUUGAAACAUGCAUUGUCUUUUCAGCUUAACUGAGUACUUACUAUGUGUGAAUCACUGCACAAAGUAGGGGAGAGAAGAUGAGGGAGACAGGAAAGAUGUGUUUCCUGCCUUCAAUGGAUUUAUGAUUACUUUUGGCUCUUAAUUAAGUGUGUCCCUAAGAUAGAAAACAAAUGAAUGGAAAAGUGUAUUCUGCAAGUAUUUUAAAUCCCUUUAAUAAAACAGAAAACAAACAAAACAGUCAAUGUGGGCAACUCAGGACAUCUUCCAUUUUUUUGGACUUUCAAUAGGUAGGAUUUAUUUCAUUGAUUUUAUAAAUAUUUAGUAGAUGUUAGAGAUACUAACACAUUAUAGUUGGAGUUAAUUGAAUUAAAUUCUUUUUUUUAACUGUCAGGUGUAGAUUAUCAGUUGGAAAAGUAUAUUGUGUUUGUACAUUUCUUGCAGAGUGGGUAGGUGAAUUACGCCUGUUGUCUUUGUAGACCUCUACCAUCUGUGCCCCAGGGGCCUGACAUUCUGAGUAAGUAAUUGGCUUGAGGAAGGGGAAGAUUUGGCUCAAAUUUGGGAAAGCUCAUGGACCCAAGAUAGGACAGGGAAGGAGCAAAACAGACCUAGGCAAUGACUCUGUAGGAAAAUUUGGCUGUUUUAGUAUUCAUUGUGUUAUCCUCUAUAUUCCAAAAUUAAUGUGUAGUUUUUUCAAAUACUUAUUUCUGAUCUGGGAAUAAGUCAUGAUUUUUCCAAUGUUAAGACAGUAAUAUGACUGUAGACACUUGACAUUUUAUGUAUGUAACACAUUUUAGUAUGUACGAACCAAUAAUAGACACGUCUUUGUCUUCAGCAGUGUCCAUCUGAAUUGAAAAUGUGCCAGCUUUUUAAAAAAAAAUCAUUAUCAACAGACUUCUUAAUUAAGCUGCCAAUACAUACUGCCAAUAGCACUAUGUGCCAUUUGAGAAAUGAAUCAUGUGAGUGCUGUUUCCCUCUUACUGAAAAAAACAAUGAUGCUCCAUAGAAAAUAGAUUUAAAGUGUUCUUUGAAUAGGAAAUUACAUUGCUCCCUAAAGAGUUUGAUGAGAAUUCUCAUACCUUCCUUUUUUACUUAAUUUCCAAAAACUUUUAUUUGCUCUUCAGUAAGGAAUAGUUCUAAUUUGACCCAUAACUUUAGUUAUAUGAUUCAUCCUUAGGAGGAAGAAUUGUCCAGCCCCCAAACUCCUGAUGGUGAUAUUGGAUGUUUGUUAAUCCAAGUUACAAAACUAUAUUGUAUGAAAUUGUAGAUAUUUAUUUUCUAUUCUGGGAAAUUUUUUGGAGGGACCAUGUCUGUGUUCCUGGAACCUAGCACAGUACCUGGUGCAUAGUAAGUACAUGUUGAGUAAAGAUU